UCCGUAGGUGAACCUGCGGAAGGAUCAUUACA
rnacentral:rRNA from 1 species